GGCCCGCCGCCGCCCCGGCGUGCUUUGCGGCACGAAGUGGGGAAGGGGGGAAGUGCGAGGGGGAGGAGCCAGGGGGCGUCUCCGCCGCGCAAAAGCCCGCGCGCGCUACGGCCCUGCCCUAACGGUCGUUUGGGGGCUGCAUGGCCGGGGGGGUCGGUGGGGGCUGCGCGCUGCCGUUGGGCUGGGCUGUGGGGUCCUGCCGAGCACUUCGCCCCUUACACCUCGUUUCAGUUGUGCUACUGUUGUGCUUCUGUAAGCAGCUCUGGAGUAUAAAAUCACCCACUCUUCUGUGACUUCACAACCAAGGAAAAUGUAUUUUCUAAUUGCAGUGGAUACAACUAAAGGGAAAAAGCUGCUAUGAUAAGAUCCAAGUCCAAAAAUCCAUCUAUUCUGGAAUUAUUUUUCUGUGAGUAACUAAAGAAUAAUUGUAAAAAAUUCACAAACCAGUUGUACAAUGAUGUAUGUACAGGUUAAAAAAAAAAGUCUGAUCUUUGGAACACAACUGCACUUAUGAAUGCUAGGAGUCCAAUACUAUCCAGACUUUCCCAUAAAUUUCAACUGUAUUAUUUACUUUUAUCAGUACUUGCUUUUUUAAGGCCUAAGCACACACAUGUUUACAGAGUUCAUAACAGUAAGUAUUUCUUUUAGAUUACUUCAAAUUUAUUUACUAUCCUUUCACUGAGCAUUUUUGCAUGAAUAAAUUGGGCAGGACGAACCAUUCCAGACUAUGCAGUAUUUCUUUCUUACAAGUAAAUCAAUUUUAAAAGGGCAUCUGAAUCCUUGAAAUUUCACCAAAAUAUGCUCAAGAUAUAUGUUGCUGCUUUUGACCUUUGUGCAGUUUAAGCCAACUUGGGUCACUUGGUAAUAUAAGGGAUCUUUAACACAGAUCACUUAGAUAGCAACAAGCUGAGGGGCAACAGUAAAUGCCAUGAUGGUGAGCACCAGAGCCAGCAAGAAGGCGGGAGCAGUAGUCUCACUACUUGCUUCAGCAACAGCUAAAACAACAUGAGCUUUGCUGGGGAGGGAAGAUGAAGGACUGAGAUCAGUGUGUUAAGAUUUCAACCUGGAACUGCAGGGAGAUCGUGUGGUAUUUCCAUUGCCCUUGCUCAAGUACUUGAAAUAAAGUGUGUUGUUUAAAUUAUUUACUACUCUUCUUCCCAACUUUAUCUGAAACCAUGUCCAGGUAAUGCAGCACAUACCCGUUUAACUCUUAGGCUCCGCCGUUCUGUGGCAUUUCUCACAAAGAGUGCCUUUUUGGCUAGUGUUGAGCUGUCGCUGUCACUUCGAUUCAACUGUCAAAAUAUAUAUGAUAACAAACAGAGAUAUAAAGCAGGCAUCUUCACAGAGACAUACAUCUGUAUUGAUAAAAGCAGCCAGAAACGCUCAGUGUUGAUAUACAUGCAGGUCAUUCUUAGCAUAAAAGAAGAUUUCUUUCAGCGAGAAAAAGAGUCUGUAAAAUUUUAUUCCUAGACCAAGGUAACUAUUGAUCUUACUAAAUGAACACUAAGUAGGCUCUUUAGGAAUGCAAGCAAGGUAACGAUGGUUAUUUAGUACUGCCAAAUCACUGGCUAGCUUUUAUAUGACUGCAGAUCAUAAAUAAAUUAUGCAUUUCAUUUGCUUGGGGCAGGCUUUCAACAAAUUUGCCAUAGGAAAGGUAAAUUGCUGUAGAUAUGCACCUGUCCAAACAGUACUUUUAUAUUAUUAUUUGUAACAAGUAUGGGCAUGCCAUUUCCUGCAUCUCAGAAAUGUGCAUCACAGCACACUAGUUGGUUUUCCUUAAUUACAGCGUUAGUUCCAUAUACAUCAACGCACAUUGAUUCUUUUGGGUGCAUCAACAUAUGUGGUGGUAACCUUCAAAGCAAAGAAGCAUCUAUUUGAAGGAUAUUUAUUUCAGCUCUUCAGAAAAGGACAGACAAAAAAGAAUCAUUCUACUGACAUUUCAAAACCAAUAAAGCCAGUGCCCUAAAGCAUACUUAUACAGGACUGACUGGAGGUUGGGAGCAGGAAAUAAAACCUCUUGCAAUACGAAUGCUCUUCUCUAGAGAGAAAUCUGUCUUUUCACCAUGGAGACACUGCUGACAACUCCUCCCUGGAUACAAACAGGUAACUACAUCAUCACUGAUGUCCUUGAAGCACUUUUCUUGGGAGGAUACGUGGUUUGUUCUUUUAGAUUCUGGCUUCUGGCAGCACGAGUGUGGCAAGUUUCAAGGCUACAAAAGCCCAAAACCUUUCUGGAUACAAAAAGCUCAGGAAUUUAUACUAAUAAAACUGUCAGAGCACCUGGUGUUACUUCCCCUAGAGGACCUCUGCAGACAGUAAGUGAAGGCUACAAUUUUUGUCAACACAACAAGUUUCCAGUCCAUUGGAAUUAAAACAAAGGCUAGAUUCUAGAUUCAGCCAAUAAUCUAUCCAAAUUUGGUAAUUAUUAUAUACAAUCUGCUGCAUUUCAGUAUGGAGGUUAUAUGGAAUAGUUAAGUAUUUUGAUACUAUUGAUUUCUUUUGGCCCAUCACAGAGAAGUGACCAACUUUAAUAUUCCCAGAUGAUUAAGGCAACCACCUCUAACUGAACUGGAGAGAAAUUAAAGCAUAAAGUAUUAAGAAAGAUAAGAGCCAAACUUGCAUGAGAAGCCUCUAGAAACUGAACAUCAAAAUAGACUGCCUUUUUUAUGGUUUCUGUAAUUAAAAUUUAUAUAGAGAUAGUAAUUCAUGCUUAAAUCUUGAAAUACAUGAUUUUCAUUGUUAAUUUAGUUGUAACAGUGUUGAUAUUUUAAAUCUUUUUCCAUGCUGCCACAACUCUAGAGAAACUACAGAACUUUGUUGCCAAAGCCACAUUUAAAACUCAGCCCCUAGGCAGCACUUGGACAUCUUUCAAACAUGAUCACAGCAGGAUUUUAGAACAGCAUCAUGCAGCUGCUAAGCAGGCUACCCAGUUUUAAAACCAGCUAAGAUACAAAGCAAGAUUCAAAAUUGAUGACUGAGCUCUUUCCACACUGUUACCCUUAAAUGGUUACAUUAUUAAAAUAUUUUAAUGCAGUGGCAGUUUACAGUAAUUCUAUUCUACAAUUUUACAGAUUAGUUUGCUGUGUGAGAGGUGCAGUUCCUGACAUGCAGUGAAACACACUUUUUGCAGAUGGCCUGCACAGGAAUCUCUGUUAGCCCCUCCAAUAGGCUGUAUUUUUGCCCUUUUAAAGGUGUUUUGCAAGAGUGUGCAACUUUUCUGAAAGCCAGUUCUACUAUACAUCAGGUCAGUUAGGGAAAGAAGGAACCUAGAGAAAGCACAGACUCUGCCUCUUGCAGGGAAAAUUGGUACAUGACUCACUGUCAUUAAUGCAUCAUUCCCAAGAAGUUAAAUGACUCUGUAGUUAAUAGCUCUUUACUCCAAGUGUUUUUCCUCUUACCCUACAGAUGUAUUGGUUCCGCUCGCCUGGAGAGAAGGUUUGUGAGCGCACUAUCAUGCUGUUCCUGACAAAGGGAUGCUGUCUUGAGCUCCAGCUGGCUCUGUCCUUGGGUCGGACUGCUGUGUUCUCAUUAACCGAUUCUUCAGUGUUAGUCUCUUUAUCAACCUAUGAAAAGGAAUUUAGUUUAUAAGAACUACUAUAUCCUCAGACAUGCCACUACAUAGUUUUUGUGUCUUUGGAUUUUACAAGCGUUGUUACCAUCUCGUAGGGGAUGAAAAAAACUAGUAGAGAGCACAAGAAGUAUCUCUCACAUAACAGAGAAGCUAUGCUAAGCAAAGAAACAAGAGAUUCCUAAAACACACACCAGUAUGGGGGGAUAGGGGAAAGAAGUCUUUGAAGGUAGUCUUUGUAGUCAGUAAAAGUCAAAGCUUUUGCAGAAAGGCCCUCACUGCCCUACAAAUGGUCUAAAGUACCAUGGUGCAAACAAGCAUUUUUGUUUGCCAUUUGCAGAUUUUUUUUUUUUAAUUCUGCAUUUAUAUUUAAUUUGCUCUGUAUUUGUAGGACAGCAAGCUUUUGCCGUACUGGAGACAGCAUCUACACACACUGAAAGGGGUGGCUGGGAAAGCUGCAAUGCCCGAGUUCUUUCAGACACCCUGUUGUAUAUCCCCCUAGCCCCAGAGCUGAGCUGGUUUAUGGCAAUCUCCUCCCAUUACUGCAGAGCUGAACCUGCUUUGUGAGAUCCAGGGAAGAGGCACAACUAAGUCCCAUCUCUGAGGGGGCCCACUGCCUGGUACAGUUGCCCCACACAUCACAGGGAGCCUCAGAGGCUGACGUCCCCAUAUACAGUGUGGCCCAUACUUGCAUGCAGCAAUCAUCUUGACAGCAGGGCUAGAACAAGCACUGUCGUGGCUAGCACACUCGGUGUUACCGAUGUACACUGGGGCAUUUUCUUUGACUUGAGUAAUUUAAUGAGGUUCAUUGUUUUGAAUAUUUAGGUGAUAAAUGCAAUGAAUGACCUAAACAGCACAACUGCAACCUUGAAAGGAUCUGGCACAAGAAGAUCUAUACGACGGUUGGUUUUAUAGUAAGGUCGCUACAUCUUUGACUCUGCCCAGGUCCAGCCCCCACUUUGCAAAACACGUGUCUGCGUGUGCCUAACCUUCAGAAGUUGUCCUUGAUGUGUCUCUUUGCUGACUUAGGGCGUUGAUCUAUAUUUGGUUGCUACCCAGAAGAUUGUCAGUCCUUUUAUACCAUGCCCUUGGCUCAUUUGGCAUCUUGCCACAUCAAUUGGAAGUUAGUUACAGUUUCUAGCAAGUCCACUGAGGUGUCAAACUUUUUAAUGUCAUAGAUUUGAAGGAACAAGAUGUCAUUCUUUGUCUUUUCACUUUGCUGUUUUACAGAACCUACAGGUCUAAUCUAUGCAAUAGUAUUGCAUCAAGAUUUACUGCAUGUAGAAAGGUGUCCUAAAAUUUUUAUUUCUAGGGUAUAUACUACAACAUCAGGGAUGUCUUUAUUAAACCUUUACUAAAGGUGUUUUCAGAAAGAUGGAGUAUUAUUUAAGGCAAACAGUUAACAAUUUCUAAUUCCAUGAUCUCAUUACAUGCAGUAUGCGGGUAGUUCAACUGCACACCAUUUGCUACACAUUUUGGAAUCUUCUAUUUGUUAAUCUUUCCUCCUCUUCUCUGCUAAGCCAGUUUCUGCAUUUCACACCCUAGAAUAAAGGGAAGAAAUACGGAAAUGCCCUCACUGGUUUAAAGGUUUUGACAUCUGCUCCACCCUAUUUAUUUGAAGGGAAACCCAACAAAUCAAUCAGAAAAAAUAGGAAACUAAAACAGAUGUGCAGAAAUAUUUUAAAGAUGCACAAGUUAAAGUUACUGGACUGCGCUUGUAUCUUGAAUGUUCUCUCUACCCGACAUAGAAGUGUGAAGAUUGACAUUUUUAUUUAAUUGACUUAGAAGUUCUGCCUACAAUAUCUGUUACACGUCCUAUGUACAGCUCAGAAGUGACCACACUGAUUUCAUUAAAUAUAUGUUCCAAGAGGCACUAGGGAAGGCCACGUCAAAUUGUAAAUGCUCAGACACAGCAGACUUCUAGAUUUAACUGUUCAGAAAUAUUUCUUAAAACCAAUCAACGUUUUCAGACAUAGUAAGAUACAGUGGGAAUGCAUAAUGUAAGAUAUUCACCAGUGUUAGUAUUACAGAAGCUUGCUGGCUUUCAUGGGCCUCAUUGCUGUUCUCUCUGCCCUUGUCUUCAUCUGUCUCUGCUGGUUCAAUGCAUAACCCCAAAUCACUAGUACAGCUGCCUUCUACUGUGAGCUUAACGCCAUCUUCCUCUUCAUCCACAAUUUCAUCAGAUGCUUCUGCAAGCAUUUCUAACCUGUAUGGACAGAAGUAACCCAGGCUUAUUCUCAAACUGAUAAAGCCCACCAGAGAAACCUAUUGGAAGACCUAGGUUGUUAAUGAACAACUAGGAUAUUGUAAACCUAAAAGAAGGUGAAUAAAUUGACUGCACAAGAGAAUGAGAUUUCCCCCACCCCCAUCUCCUCCAAAAGUACAGCGCUUUCAUUAGCCUAAGAAUAGGAAUAAAUGAAAGGAAUCAUUCAGACAUGCACAGUGAAGGGAAAAAAGCAGCUUUACCAGUCUUCCUCAGAGCCCAUUUGCUCCUGUUGUUCCUCUUCCUCAUCUUCAGCCAGCUCUUGUUCCACUGCUUCCAGCUCAGCAGAUGUCCGCUCUAGCAGAGCUGAGACAGCAUCCUGCUUGCAAGGAAAGGGAAGAUGAAACCAGAACAAAGUGACAUACAACAUUAGGUUAAAAAUGACAACUCUUACAAAAGCUGUAUUUCCCUGGUGUUCCCUGAUGCCAGCAAAAGUGUGACUCAUAUCACCAGUUUAAGGGGUUGAACUCUCCAUGUGUAGUGCAUUAACUGAUCGAGAUUUACUCUCUUUAUAAACAAUGCAUUUUUGUAUUUUGUUUUUAAAAUGAUAAUGCAAUCAAAAACGAUCCUCUUAUCCUGUAAUAUCUUUUCCCUCUCUCCCUCUUACACUUGUAAAGUGCCUAGAUAAAAAGAGGUUGUUCUUAAAAGUCACAUUUUUAGUGACUUUUAAUGUAGUUCUUUUAAGAAGGUAUAAAAUAGAUUUAUUUAACUAGAAAAAUUAGCAUACAAAUUGCAUACACAGCAUUUUUAAGUGCAGUAACCUUAAGCAUGUGAAUUCAAAUAAUAAAAAGCAAUUUUUAAUAACAUUCAUUUUAAAAUGAAACAGUUGAAGUGUUUCAAUAUUGGAGUCCAGUUCUACAAUCCACUAAGAAGCCUCAGCCCUCCUCACACUUCCGAGCAAGUUUCUAACUCCAUGUAGGACCUACUUACACAAAGUCACUACAUGCAGAAAUGCCUGCAAGACGGGACCUCGGACCUUCCAGGGAGGUGGAGGAGGACAAAGAAGAUAUACAAAUAACCAUAACACAAUGGCCCAAUUAGAUUCUAUGGCUUUUUUCUUGCUAACGCAGCAAUAGCCAACAGAUUGCUCACCAAAUCCAUUGAGUCUGAUGACUGCUUGUUUAACAGAAACAUAGAUUCUUCAUUUUGUUCCUUGUUUUUUUUGCCAGGAAUCUGCUUGCAAGGCAGCAGGUUGUACCACAGAGUGUAAGUCUCAUCAGAAAUGGAUAAAUCUGCCAGACUGAUCUGAGUUCCAGCCUGCAAAGAAUAUGAAAGGAGAAGAAAAGUUUAAAUUUGUCGGUUUCCUGCAAGACGGCUGAAAAUUAAUUCUACAGUAUUUUUCAUGUAAAACAGGCAGUGUGAAUUUGACAUGGAUCUUGAUUCUUUUUAACUGUACAAUCUUCCUACUUCCCCCUGACUCCAGUUAAAAAAAAAAAAAAGAAAUACAUGAAAGGUUUCUCAUAUUGUCCAUUCUGCCAUUUUGUAUUUCAGCCUGCAUAAUUUCUCCCCACAUGCACACACACAAAAGCCUCUUCAUCAUCAUAAUGCACAAAAAAAUAUUUAUCUGCUUUCUAUAGUAUUCAAUAAUGAAAAGCUGUGGCAGUGAAACCUGUAGCAUCAACUUACAGAACAGCAAGUCUUGACUGAAAAGUCAAUUUUUCAGUUGUUCCACCACAAAAAUCAUUGAUGCAGCACACAAUGACAGAUGACCUUGUUUGGUUUAACCAGUGAAGAAGCAGAUGAAAUAACAGUAAAGGACAUUAAGAAACCCUUUCAUGCAGACAAGCACUAACAUCCAUUGAGUUGGCACCCUGGGAAAACUUGUAAGCGCUCGUGCUUGGGCUGUGCCUUGGCGAUUAAAAUCCUUUGUUCUUUGGCAAAGCAAAAGAUCUACAGAGCCACUGGGCCGAGCACAUCACUCUUGCCAAGACUCUGGUCACGUUGCCCAGGGCUCUCUGCUUGGGGCACUCUUCGCAACUCCUUCAUUUGAUCUAGUGAUUAACCUCUACCUCUGUGGGGUUUUUUCACCUUUUGUAUCCUGCAUUCUGUUACAUUUUUUGUUCUGCAACCAUUCCUUUAUCUGAGGGGAAAACUCUUGGUUUUCUUCAUUUCAGACAGGCUGAUGAGUUCAGCCACUAACCCACUGAGAAAGGCCAGCACAUUCCCCAGGCAUUAAGUUAACUUCUGCAUGUCUGAAACUGAGAGGCUGUUUCCAGCAGCCUGGGCUGAUGAAUCCUGCCAGACACCAAUUUCAGCAUCUCUUCAUGGUGUUACAAGUAAAAGUCUCACUGUGCUACUAAGCCAGACUCUUAGUGAAAAACAAAACUGAGUUGUACCAGACAGCACAAAGUAAUCUGAAAGUAAAUUAAGCAUCACUAGUUACGUGAUGGCCACAAUUAGCAAAAGACAACAAACAAAAGCAAACACAAACCAAACUCAGCUUCCAAUAGGCUGGUCUAUUAAUGUUGUGCCUUUUUAUUAUUUCUACAAGUCAUAAAGACUAAAAAGGUAGAUCUAAUGUAAACUACAACACGCAAAACAAAUUUUUCAUGACAAAUUGCGAUAAUGAAGGUUUGCAUUGAUUUUUUGUGCAUAUUGUGGAUUGGAUUCAGCUUUUACUUUAAAAUUCAGUUACUGUAA